AGCGAACGCUGGCGGCAGGCUUAACACAUGCAAGUCGAACGCCCCGCAAGGGGAGUGGCAGACGGGUGAGUAACACGUGGGAACGUACCCUUUGGUUCGGAAUAACUUGGGGAAACUCAAGCUAAUACCGGAUAAGCGCUUAUGGGGAAAGGUUUACUGCCGAAGGAUCGGCCCGCGUCGGAUUAGCUAGUUGGUGAGGUAAUGGCUCACCAAGGCGACGAUCAGUAGCUGGUCUGGGAGGAUGAUCAGCCACACUGGGACUGAGGCACGGCCCAGACUCCUACGGGAGGGAGCGGUGGGGAAUAUUGGACAAUGGGGGCAACCCUGAUCCAGCCAUGCCGCGUGAGUGAUGAAGGCCUUAGGGUUGUAAAGCUCUUUUACCCGGGACGAUAAUGACUGUACCGGGAGAAUAAGCCCCGGCUAACUUCGUGCCAGCCGCCGCAGUAA
rnacentral:rRNA from 1 species